rnacentral:tRNA from 1 species
AGCUAAUGAACUUGUAUAAGUGUAUAUUUUGAAAAUAUAAAAAAGAGGCUUUACCCUCUAUUAGCUU